GGACUACAGGGGUAUCUAAUCCUGUUUGAUCCCCACGCUUUCGUGCCUCAGCGUCAGAUGUAAUCUAGUGAGCUGCCUACGCAAUCGAGGUUCUGAGUAAUAUCUAAGCAUUUCACCGCUACACUACUCAUUCCGCCCACUUCGUCUAAUCUCAAGAACAUCAGUUUCAACGGCAAUUUUAAAGUUAAGCUUCAAACUUUCACCGCUGACUUAAUAUCCCGCCUACGCACCCUUUAAACCCAAUAAAUCCGGAUAACGCUCGGAUCCUCCGUAUUACCGCGGCUGCUGGCAC
rnacentral:rRNA from 1 species